rnacentral:rRNA from 1 species
UACAGGGGGGCAAGCGUUGUUCGGAAUUACUGGGCGUAAAGGCUCGUAGGCGGCCAACUAAGUCCGACGUGAAAUCCCAAGCUUAACUUGGAACUGCGUCGGAUACUGGAUGGCUUGAAUUCGGGAGAGGGAUGCAGAAUUCCAGGUGUAGCGGUGAAAUGCGUAGAUAUCUGGAGGAAUACCGGUGGCGAAGGCGGCAUCCUGGACCGACAUGACGCUGAGGAGGCGAAA